UUUAAAAUAAAGUUCACCCUGUGG
rnacentral:piRNA from 1 species